UUUCGGAUAACGGAUCCUUCUAAUCCAGUCUAUCUAAUGUCUUUUUCAGGAGCCAGAGGAAAUGCAUCUCAAGUACACCAAUUAGUAGGUAUGAGAGGAUUAAUGUCGGACCCUCAAGGACAAAUGAUUGAUUUACCUAUUCAAAGCAAUUUACGCGAGGGACUUUCUUUGACAGAAUAUAUAAUUUCCUGCUAUGGAGCCCGCAAAGGGGUUGUAGAUACUGCUGUGCGAACAGCAGAUGCUGGAUAUCUUACACGUAGACUUGUUGAAGUAGUUCAACAUAUUAUUGUGCGUAGAAGAGAUUGUGGUACUAUCCGAGGUAUUUCUGUAAGUCCUCAAAAUGGGAUGACGGAAAAACUUUGUGUCCAAACACUAAUUGGUCGUGUAUUAGCAGACGAUAUAUAUAUCAGUUCACGAUGCAUUGCCGCGCGAAAUCAAGAUAUUGGAAUUGGAUUAGUCAAUCGAUUCAUAACUGCCUUUCGAGCACAACCAUUUCGAGCACAACCAAUAUAUAUUAGAACCCCCUUUACUUGCCGAAGCACUUCUUGGAUCUGUCAAUUAUGCUAUGGCCGGAGUCCUACUCAUAGUGAUCUGGUCGAAUUGGGAGAAGCUGUAGGUAUUAUUGCAGGUCAAUCAAUUGGGGAGCCAGGGACUCAACUAACAUUAAGAACUUUUCAUACUGGUGGAGUAUUCACAGGGGGUACUGCCGACCUUGUACGAUCCCCUUCGAAUGGAAAAAUAAAAUUCAAUGAGAAUUUGGUUCACCCCACACGUACCCGUCAUGGGCAGCCUGCUUUUCUAUGUUAUAUAGACUUGCAUGUAACUAUUCAGAGUCAAGAUAUUCUAUAUAGUGUGAAUAUUCCCUCAAAAAGCUUGAUUCUAGUGCAAAAUGAUCAAUAUGUAAAAUCCGAACAAGUACUUUCGAUAGGACCAGUUGACAAUUGA
rnacentral:rRNA from 1 species